rnacentral:rRNA from 1 species
UACGUAGGGCGCAAGCGUUGUCCGGAAUUAUUGGGCGUAAAGAGCUCGUAGGCGGUUUGUCGCGUCUGCUGUGAAAACCUAAGGCUCAACCUUGGGCUUGCAGUGGGGUACGGGCAGACUAGAGUGCGGUAGGGGUGACUGGAAUUCCUGGUGUAGCGGUGGAAUGCGCAGAUAUCAGGAGGAACACCGAUGGCGAAGGCAGGUCUCCUGG